rnacentral:Y_RNA from 13 species
GGCUGGUCCGAUAGUAGUGGGUGCCCAGAACUCUUUAAUAUAGUUUCACUAAACUUGGUAUAUUCCACCUCACUGCUAAACUUGACUGGCCUUU